GACGAAGAUUAAUCUAGAACAGAAAAGCUGAUUAGAUUCUUUAAGCGAGCCGAUGGUAGUGAGAGUUCGGCAGACCCUCUAGUUGGAAAGAUCCUCUAGAUCAUUCGAUUGUGAACCAUCAGUAGCAGUCGACGUGUCAUUACGUUAGCGAUGAUUAGAGGAAACUUUUUGAGUUUCAAAUUUUGGGUGGUACCACGACAAGCUCGUCCCUUUG
rnacentral:ncRNA from 1 species